UCCGUUUUUGUCAUGACCCGAUUAAGCCGCUGAAGGCAUAGAACAUGAAAACACAUCGUCAGAACCCGAUUAAUACAGAACACAAACAUCGUUAACCGUCUUAACCCGAUGGAGCCAUUGGAGGCAAAGAAUAUGACUACAUAUCGUAAUAUUGUGAUUUGCACAGAACUUCUUCAGAAACAUCUUUGAGCUUGCUAACCUAACAAUGGAGCGAAACAUCAGUUGGUAUCAGAAAUGUAUAUCGGUGUCUAACAAAGAUUUAAAUAUCACGAAAUUUUACUCGGAGCCGAUAUUCAUAACAUAUUACAGAUCCUUACUGCUUAAGCCCGACCGAUCAAACGAUUUUCUUAGGAUAUAUGAGCUCGAUUUAUUCUCUUGCUGAAAUUAUUGAGAGUAUCUUGAGUUUUGGAAAUAUAUUAAUUUAUAUGCUGAGUCAUUCCGCGUCGAACACUCGACAGAAACGGACGUGCAAAGUGGUCGUUCUAUUACAAUCCGGUCCGUGUGUACGAAUAGCCAAACAAA